AACCUCAUCUACCGGAAGGGAUUCCUUCUGGUUGAUGAGGUAUAGCUUCCUCAUCAACCGGGAGGACUCUCCUUCAGUCAAUGAGGAAGCUAAACCUCAUCAACCGGAAGGAAUUCCUUCCGGUUGAUGAGUUC
rnacentral:miRNA from 1 species